GCUUGGAUCCUUCUCGCAAAUGCUCCUUCGUCCGUCGACUCAUCUCCGGCGCACUCUGGAUCGUCUGCUUGGGUAUCACUAGGAUUCUUCAGAGCGGCGUCAAAAUGAAGCCCUGGUAUUCUCUACGAAAAUGCAGUUUCUAAGGGUUUUGAGAUCAAAAGAGGUCUCUGCCAAAUCCCUUUUGAUGUGCUCAGUCAGGAUUGGCCUUACUUGAUGCUAAAUCAGAACCGUAAAAACGACGAAGACAUGAAGAGAUUUGGUUUUCACCUUGUCCCAUUCCAAAAUCUGUUAUUUCUUGAGCCAACUAAAUUAGAGGCAGGAGC